UAACGGUAAAUUAAACAUGGGCAUUAUUUGUACCCAAAAGAAGGGCUCUGCCUUCAGCUAAAUAGGCAGCCGAGGUUUCAUUAAACAGAUCAUCAUCGUUUUCUGAAUUCAGUGAUGAAUCAUCAAAGUCAUCGGAAGAGCUGGCACUGGAUGAUUUGCGCAGCGUAAUGGAAUAAAUGAAUUGUCGCAACCUAUAUUUUAAAGAAAUCAUAGAAAAAAUAAUCGGCAGUAGUAUAAAGGUUGGAUAACGUUUGCUAAUAAGAUUUCCAAGUGG